rnacentral:tRNA from 1 species
GGUGCUAUAGCUCAGUGGUAGAGCACUUGCCUAGCACGUGGAAGACAAUGCGUUCAAUCCUUAGCAUCA